CGACCUAAUGAUGUAGACAUUUAUGAAGUAGAUCCCUGAAAUGCUCUCAGGUCUCAAAGAAAAGUUUUCUAUCCAUUUGUGUGAAACUUGUGAUUGCCCUUCCGAGUUG